rnacentral:tRNA from 1 species
GGGCCUGUAGCUUAGUCGGCAGAGCACCGCAUUCGCAUUGCGGAGACGGGAGUCCGAUUCUCCCCAGGUCCA